GAUGAACGCUGGCGGCGUGCCUAAUACAUGCAAGUCGAACGAAACUUCUUUAUCACCGAGUGCUUGCACUCACCGAUAAAGAGUUGAGUGGCGAACGGGUGAGUAACACGUGGGCAACCUGCCCAAAAGAGGGGGAUAACACUUGGAAACAGGUGCUAAUACCGCAUAACCAUAGUUACCGCAUGGUAACUAUGUAAAAGGUGGCUAUGCUACCGCUUUUGGAUGGGCCCGCGGCGCAUUAGCUAGUUGGUGAGGUAAAGGCUUACCAAGGCAAUGAUGCGUAGCCGAACUGAGAGGUUGAUCGGCCACAUUGGGACUGAGACACGGCCCAAACUCCUACGGGAGGCAGCAGUAGGGAAUCUUCCGCAAUGGGCGAAAGCCUGAUGGGGCAACGCCGCGUGGGUGAAGAAGGUCUUCGGAUCGUAAAACCCUGUUGUUAGAGAAGAAAGUGCGUGAGAGUAACUGUUCACGUUUCGACGGUAUCUAACCAGAAAGCCACGGCUAACUACGUGCCAGCAGCCGCGGUAAUACGUAGGUGGCAAGCGUUAUCCGGAUUUAUUGGGCGUAAAGGGAACGCAGGCGGUCUUUUAAGUCUGAUGUGAAAGCCUUCGGCUUAACCGGAGUAGUGCAUUGGAAACUGGGAGACUUGAGUGCAGAAGAGGAGAGUGGAACUCCAUGUGUAGCGGUGAAAUGCGUAGAUAUAUGGAAGAACACCAGUGGCGAAAGCGGCUCUCUGGUCUGUAACUGACGCUGAGGUUCGAAAGCGUGGGUAGCAAACAGGAUUAGAUACCCUGGUAGUCCACGCCGUAAACGAUGAAUGCUAAGUGUUGGAGGGUUUCCGCCCUUCAGUGCUGCAGCUAACGCAAUAAGCAUUCCGCCUGGGGAGUACGACCGCAAGGUUGAAACUCAAAGGAAUUGACGGGGGCCCGCACAAGCGGUGGAGCAUGUGGUUUAAUUCGAAGCAACGCGAAGAACCUUACCAGGUCUUGACAUCUUCUGACAAUCCUAGAGAUAGGACUUUCCCUUCGGGGACAGAAUGACAGGUGGUGCAUGGUUGUCGUCAGCUCGUGUCGUGAGAUGUUGGGUUAAGUCCCGCAACGAGCGCAACCCUUAUUGUUAGUUGCCAGCAUUAAGUUGGGCACUCUAGCAAGACUGCCGGUGACAAACCGGAGGAAGGUGGGGAUGACGUCAAAUCAUCAUGCCCCUUAUGACCUGGGCUACACACGUGCUACAAUGGACGGUACAACGAGUCGCAAGACCGCGAGGUUUAGCAAAUCUCUUAAAGCCGUUCUCAGUUCGGAUUGUAGGCUGCAACUCGCCUACAUGAAGUCGGAAUCGCUAGUAAUCGCGGAUCAGCAUGCCGCGGUGAAUACGUUUCCGGGCCU
rnacentral:rRNA from 1 species